ACCGAAAUAGCCCAGUUUGGAGAGCAUUAGACUAUAGAUAGAAAGGUCCUUGGUUCAGUCCCGGGAUUCGACA
rnacentral:tRNA from 1 species